CACGUAGUUAGCCGUGGCUUCCUCCUCAGGUACCGUCAUUAUCGUCCCUGAAGACAGAGCUUUACAACCCGAAGGCCGUCAUCACUCACGCGGCGUUGCUGCAUCAGGGUUUCCCCCAUUGUGCAAUAUUCCCCACUGCUGCCUUCCGUAGGAGUCUGGGCCGUGUCUCAGUCCCAAUGUGGCCGAUCACCCUCUCAGGUCGGCUACGCAUCGUCGCCUUGGUGAGCCGUUACCUCACCAACUAGCUAAUGCGCCGCGGGCCCAUCUCAUAGCGGAUUGCUCCUUUAAUUGCUACUUCAUGCGAAGCUACAAUCUUAUGCGGUAUUAACUCUCCCUUUCGGAAGGCUAUUCCCCUCUAUGAGGCAGGUUGCCCACGUGUUACUCACCCGUCCGCCGCUACGCUUUGUUCCGAAGAACCUCCACUCGCUCGACUUGCCUAGUGUGUUACGGCUACGCCCGCCAGUCCGUCGUCCUCGAGUCC
rnacentral:rRNA from 1 species